UCCCGGGGCCGCCGGCCACCGCCGCCUCUCCGGGCCUGGAGGAGGGAGCUCGCGGCGGCGCCGGUGCCAGCGGGAAAUCCGGAAAGGUGGCGGCGCUGGCUCCGGCCACCAGGUCUAGAAGAUACGUGCAAGACUCCAAAACUCCAGGGCAGGUGGGGCUGCUAGAGGCAUGGAGCCUGAAGGUUUGAAUCACCAGGGAGAUUGGUGGCAAGUCCAGCUGUCAUCAGAGAGGCUUCAUCCAGCAACUGAUGGAAGCAGAUGAAGAGACUCACGGCCAAACAUUAGGCAGAGAGAGUCCAAAUUGAAGAUCUCCAUUGGGUCCCUCCUUCUGGAGCUCAAGGAACCCUGAGGAAAAAGAGAGGAACAUAAUGAUGGGGCACAUCAGGGACACAACAGCUUUGAAAAUUCUUUUUAGGGCCAGCAAGAUGGCACAAAGGGUGAAGAGGGUUAGCCACCAAGUCUGGCAACUUGAGUUUGAUCCCCAGGACCCAUAAGGAUGACACAAACUAAGUAACUGGAAACUUGCCUGCGCUCCUUCCUGGGACCCUUUCUGCCUCUGCACUCCUGCUUCCCAGGGAGACCCCAGAGAAUGGACAGUCCUGGGACUAUGUGGAGAGCUUCCGAUCUCAUUCACUGCUGCUUCUCACAAAGGCAUGAUUUCCACUGUUUUUUCCUCAAUUUGAUGCUUGGAAAGAUUGCUCUUAUGCAAGAUAUCACUGGUUUAUAAGCAAUUUGAAAUUUAAACACUGUACCUGUCAUUUUUAAAAAAUGUUAAUUUUUCUGUGGAUACAAACUUGGGCCUUAUUGGAAAAUAAAUAAAGCUUAGGGGCAAAUUCAUAGCACAAAGUAAUUAUACGUAGGAAGUCUUGUGUCUGUUUUAUUUCUCUCAGUUCAUGGAGCAGUGUUCCCAGAAAACAAAACAAACCACAAAAAAUCUCUGCCUUUUUGAAGUUAAUUCUUCCAUGAAAACCGUGAUGGGUCAGGACACCCUUGUGUAUUUUUGUACCUGCCCAUCUUGAUAUAUGUCUAAGAUUUUCUCAUGCUUUUAAUUCUGUAAACAUUCAAUGCUGAGUGAAUGCUUAUUUUUGAUACAAUCAAACCCGUGGCACACCUGUCUCUGAGGAUGAAGGGGCAGUGAGUCACCGAGAGGAGGAGGGUCACAUUAACCCUUGGAAGACAUGGGGGAUAAUUUAUGAGCUUGUUUUUGAGGGCAUAGAGUGAAAGCACUCAGGGUCUCCUGAACGAGGUCAUCUCCUUGCUCUCACCACAGGUCCUAUCUUGACUGGUGUCAUGGGAUUUAGGAAAGCAGUUUUAACAAGUUGUAAGAAAUACCACUGCAGAUGCCCAUACUCAGCUGUCCCCAGCUGUCUGCAAAUCAGCCCCGCUGAACACGGCUGUUCUGCAUCAUGUUGGAAAUGCAUCUUUUUCUCUGACGUAGAUACAGCCUGCAUCUGGGACACAAAUCUGAGGAAUAAAAGAACCAGCGGUUCUUUCUCUGUUGAUCUUCACUCCAAGCAGGACCUUUCUGUCGGUGUUCUUUGUCUAACUGUACACAGAAGCGGGAAAAAGGGCAUAAAAUGGAAUGCUAAAAGCCAGCCCUCUGAUGGACCAGGGCAAAGAGAACACGGUGUCAGGGUGGCAUCUCAUAAUGUAAGGAAAAGCAAUUUGCUGAUCUAGUGAGAUCUUAUCCACUUCACACCACUGGCUGCUCACCUGUCAGCUUCUAAAGUGCCAUGGCUUCUGACAGACACAGAGUGUGAGUCUGCUGAAGAGGAGAGAGAUUCCAGCCAGUGCUGCUGUCUGAGGAGACCUACGACACGAAGAGGACCAUGGAGAAGUGAGCUAGCUCCAACACUGGAUGACACCUUUCCUUCUAAUUUUCAAAGCAUGAGCUUCACUACAAACUGAAUCCUUUUCUUCUAAAAUGUCAGUUCUACUAUGAGGAAUUUAGUCAAAAAAGUGUCAGCACACCAUGCAAAGUACAACACUGUGGCCUUCCAAGUUAAGAGUAUCUUAUCCUUCUCACAGACUAAAGCAUAUUUGUAAGUUUCUUUACAUUAACUGCCACUGGGGAGAUGGCUCAGUGGUGGUGGGGGCUCUUGCAGAGGACCAGGUUCAAUUCCCAGCACCACACAGCAGCUUACAACUAUCCAUAACUCAAGUUCCAAUGACCUCUUUUGGCCUCUGUGGGCACCAGUCAUGAACCUGGUGUACAGACAUACAUGCAGGCAAAACAAACACAUAAAAUAAAAUUAAUGAAUCUACAUUAACUGCCAAUCAAUGGCCCCAGGCUCAAACUGUUUUUCUCCCAUCUCUUGCAUGCAGUUCUGGACUGAAGGUAAUCAUAAAAGUCUUUUUUUUUCUUGGCUCACGCCCACCACAGGAUAUCAGCUGUAACAGCUCUGGGAACAUUUAUGUCAAUUAUGCUCUAGGCACCGCAUCACUGAUCUCUAACUCACAACGUCCAAGACAGACUUCUGACCCAGAGAAGAUGACAACAUUUCUGUGGUCUUGAAGUUUUGUGAGAUCCAGCUGAAAAGAACAUUAACAAGAGAUGAAGUCAGGCAAAGCUUUGUAAGCCAACCAAGGGCUCCAGUGCGCUGUGACAUGUGACAUACCCAGGCCACAGGGGAGCUGUUCCAGGUAAGGGGAGAAGCCUAUGUGGCAGGACAGAGAGAGGGCUCUCCACAGGAGAGGCGAGUGAGUCCAGUGUAGAGGAAACUGAGGGCCUUAUUGAGAAUGAACACGAAGAGUAGGUAGAAAAGUUGGGCUCCAGAGCCUAGUCUCAAUUGGCACAGCAUCGCCCAACACCUGAGAAGGUGUGGGACUCUUUCUGUACUGCCUGAGCAUUUUGCUUCAGGCAUUAGAAAGUGGAUGUGGCACAGCUUAUGUCUCUAAGCGCACACAGUCUGACGAUAUCAAUGAAAGAUCUUAGCAAAUGUGGUGUGAGUGCCCCCACCCUAACACCACUUUAGAACAGUGCCAGGGAACAGCCUGGCAGAGUCUAGGGAUGAAGAACAGCCGCCUACCUGCAAAAAAUAUUGCCCAGUCUCUAUAUUUUACAGAAAUCCUUAGUAGGAAUUACAUGAUAAAUAAUAAAUCUUCCAGUUCACUAGCAUUCUUACACACUCACUUGUUUUUAAUUUAAAAUUAUAUCAUGUUAUGUGUCAGACAGAAUUCUAGGUUCUGCAGGUUAACAAACAUCUGAGAAGCCUCUAUGUUUCUCCUGCAUUUAUAAUCGAUCACAAGGGGCUGGCGAGGCUCAGUGUGCCACGAGGCUCUGUGAGGGAUAGCAACACUGGUCAAUAGGCCAGGCUGGGAAGAGAUUCUCAACUGACGGUAGUCUAGAGUUCCCUAGAAAAACAGCCCAGACCUAGCGUGCAAACUUUGAAGAGGAGAAAAGAGCAGGUACAUUUGAUGAAUUCUGAGAUUAUUGAAACGUGAAUGAAUGUGCUGUUCUUGCCUUGGCCAUGAAGUCUAUCCCUUGUAGUAAUAUUUUCGUAGAAAACAAAAUACUAAUCCAACCAAAGCUUGGUACUAUAGCCAGUCACAUACUGUGUAGCAGAAUUAUUAAAAGUCCCCUUUUAACAUUUUAUGAGCACAGAUCCCUUAGAAGUAGAGCCUGAGGCAGGAAUUAGAAAACACGUGACUCAUUCAUGGAGAGUUCUCCAGAAGUCGUAAAGAGAAAACGGGAUAACACAGCAGAUGCUGCUAAGCAAUGACGGGGAUUUAAGUGAAAAUUAAGCCUUGACUCCAUGCACUCAAGAGGAGAGCUAGAGCAGAAAUCAUAAGAGGAUCCUUCCUUCUUCCUGUGACUCCAUUAUUUUAGCCACACAUUGGCAUCCAGAGCUAAGUGAUGCAAAUGCAGCAUCUUGAGAAAGUCAAGAGGAACAGAAAGUGUAAAUGUGUAUGCUGAUGUUUUUGUCAGUAUUGAUGGGGUUCUGUGCGUGCGUGCGUGCGUGCGUGCGUGCGUGUGUGUGUGUGUGUGUGUGUGUGUGUGUGUGUGUGUGAUGAAGAAGUUAGGCAAGCAUCCUGCUGUCCCAAGGAUGAAUUCUGUAAAUCAGGGUUUCUCAGAUGGAGGUCUGAAAUGUGGGCUGCUAUGUGUCAGAAGGCCUGACAGCAUGUGUUGGCCUUUCAUUUGUCCAAAGUGAAUCACAGAUUCCUGAAAGAAUCAUAAACUCGGUUUGCAGUUGUCUGGAGGUUAGGUCAAAGGACAGUGUUUUUCUGUCCUGAGACUGGGGUUGGAAUGACAUACUCCUACAGUGAAUUUUGUGGGGUCAUAAAAACAAAGAAGUGGCCUGGAACCCUCCUCUGCACAUCUCCUGCAUCUGUCACUCCCUCCUAAAUCUGAUCUUUCAGAACAAAAUCACUUUAUGUAUUACAAGAUUUGAAUUUUCAUAUGUAUGUUGUUUCCUAAACAUGCCAGUUUGAAGUCCUUUUAAUAGUUUAGUACAAUGUGCAAUAUAAGGACAUGCUGGUAUUUCUCUUUAGAGUUGGUGUUCUUUUUGUGACCUUAAUAACAUGUCUUCUCUUAUGGAUGGUAAGUAGAGAAUUUAAUUAUCCACUGCUCUUACAAGACAACGAUGGCUAAUGUUUCAUGAUUUGAGGAGUAUGAGGUCACAUGCCAUAUGUUUAUAAACCACUUUUGUGUUUCCAAUAUUGUUCUUGACCCUGUUGGACGUUGUGAAGAGAAAGUAGAAAUGAUUCCCUCUUCUGUGAAUAACAAAGUAGUGGAAAUAAGUAAAAGAAAGACAAGUUAAAAUGUCCCACAUUCAAUGAUAAAGUCACCACAUUCACAGGCAGUGUGCUGAUGAAUGACCUCAGGAGACUCUUGAACAUCCUUAUGGGGCAAACAAUAUUUAAUUGUCAGAAGAGUGUGGCUAAACACAUGUACUUGGUUAUUUUAAUACAACUUUGCCACUUGGAGUUUAUAUAAAAAUGACUCAUAACAUUCAAGGGUGCUGAAGCUCUUCUGGAAUGAACAGAUGUGGCAAAAAGAUCUGUGCAGUGUGAGCCUGAUGCUUGCUUUCAGGCUUGCCAAGCAUGGGUGGGUGCUGUGGUUAUCCAUAAGCUUUGAAAAUGUUUUAAGCUCUCACCCUAGAAAUUUGUGUAUUAAUUUUUUGAUCCAAGGAUUAUAGUUUUUUUUUCAGAAAACUGUAUUGAUGUUUCUAAUUUUAGAUAUACCUAAUAAAUAUCACCCAGAGAUUUAUUUCAAAGCUAAUGCAUACCAGCUCUAUCAUACACCACAAAGAUUGUAUCCCAAGCCAAGUUCCUGACUCUCAGCCAUCCACAGAUUUCAGUAAUCAAUUACUCAAUAUAUGCCGUAUUAAUGUGGUACACUUCCAUGGAAUCUUGCCUAUAGGCAAGGCGAGAGCAAUCUAUCAGUAAUCCAUCCUCUAAACCAUUUCCAAAGCACCCAGUGAUUAGCCCAGAAAUAUACCCAUCCUGAAGUUUUCUGGGAACCCCAGUGAAUCCGUCCAAACCUCAUGUCUUCAUUUCCCGAAGGAAAACAACCACAUUAUUUACAGUAUCUAUCUGUGGGGUUUGUGUAGGAGACCCAGACAACUGCUGGUGAGUCUGACAAUUUCCUGGGAUAAAAUCUAACUCAGAGCUCCCUCAUGGAUACCAGAGGGACACAAAUGGUUAUGGCCACUGUUUCACAAGAAACGCCAAACUACAUCCACAAAAAAAAAAAAAAAAAUGCAGUAAAUGAAAUUAAUAUUUAAAAAAAAACUACAAGAAAACAUUUGCAAUACAAAAAGGCAAAGAAUGAUUAUCUUAGUGAUUAUCAUAAUAUAUCAAAGUCUUCUGCAUGAGGGAAAGAACUAAUAUCUUAGUGGAGACUUAGAAAACGUGUGGGAACAAGCAGCACACAGACAGAGUGACUAAGACCAAGAUAGUGGACCAUGACAUCUGGGGUGCUGUCUAGUCACUGACCUUUAGCUUUUCUUCAGCUUGGAAUACUACUGAUUACAGACACGCACAUCAUGACAGAAUUUCCUUCAGGUCUCAGCUCUAAUGUCUCCUGGUCAGGAUGCUCCCCAUAGUCAUUCUAUGUAAGCUAAAGUCUCCUAUGUGGCUAUCUUCAUUUCACGGCAUCAGUACCUCACCUGUGUUUGUUUAUAACAUAUCCUCUACUGUCCUUGGCUAGAGCAUAGAUUGCAUGAGGGUAGGGACCAUGACUGUUGUAGUUGGUAGUGCCAUCAGCACUUAAAUGAGGCCUUUCAUACUAGAAGUUUUCAGAAAAAUCUGUUGAGAGGCUUAUUGCCCUUGCAGAGGGCCUGCGUUGGGUUCCUAGCACCCAUACCAGGCUGCUCACAACUGCAUGUAAAUCCAUUCCAGGAUGUAUGAUGCACUUUCCUGUCAUCCGUGGACAUUGCACACACACACACACACACACACACACACACACACACACACACACACACACACACAGGCAUCAAGAACUUAGACACGGAUUGAUGCCGGGCGGUGGUGGCGCACGCCUUUAAUCCCAGCACUCGGGAGGCAGAGCCAGGCGGAUCUCUGUGAGUUCGAGGCCAGCCUGGGCUACCAAGUGAGUUCCAGGAAAAGGCGCAAAACUACACAGAGAAACCCUGUCUCGAAAAACCAA